CAGAGGGCUAAGAAAGAGUCCCCUGAGCCUCUGAGGGUAUCAGUGCUCCUCUGGGGCACUUUCUGCAUGGGUGAUUAGAAACUGCAAACUUCUUUGGUCCUCGGUUAGUGGCAGUAAGUAGAGCAGACAUGGCUCCUUCAUCUAUUUAAUCUGGAAUGGAAGCACCACCAGGGCAGGAACCAUGCCCCCUUCAUCACCUCGGAUCCUCCAGCCCUCCAUAAAUAUUUGUUCUGCUCUGGCUAACUGAGGUGUAUCAGCACAGGAUGUGGUUUUCAUCCUUAUAACCUCACCAUGGAGAGGCUUGGGGCUGCUUUCAGGUCCAGAACACCCAUUGUGGUCACCUGUUGUUGGCUUGACCCUGUAUCCUAGCAGUCACCUCUGGUGGAUACCUCACAACAACUGAAUGCUGCAUUGGCAGAGGAUGUUGCUGUGGAUAUCGCUGUGUAAAUAAAGUUCUGAUUGGC